GACAAAAUAAUAAAGGUCACUUAGUUGUGUUUUUCCCUCGAGAUUCGUUUAGUUUUUCGACGAAGUCUCACAUGGACGCAUCAGUCUCUCUCAUUUUUUUGAAUUUAAUUAUAUAACGUUUUUUAUUUGUGACUCGUCAUGGUUUUUACAAGCGCUAUGUUUGCCUCUUGAUUAUUAUAUUUCAUCGGUAAAUUUGGUUACUCUUUAUUCUGCUUUGUGCUUUUUACGUAUUCAAACCGUUAAUUUAAUCUAUUUUAAAUCCUUCCAGUAUAUACUUGAUAAGGACCACAACCAUAUGGUUGAAACGUCGUAUUAAAUAAAGGAAAUUUCUGGCUAGUUUGGUCGAAUAUAAUUUUUUCAAUAAUCCUUUGAUUAUUCGACUAGCGAUUAUACCUUUUCUACAUUUAUUAAAUUCUUACAGUUUUGCGAGAGAAAGAUAUCGCUGAGAAUUGAAAAACAUGACGAAUACAAAUAAGAACUCGUUUUAUUAUUCUCUGAGCGGCAACAAACAAGAAGACGAGAGAUUAUGGUGACAUAAAAGAUUAAGAACAUUAUGAUUUAUUGUAAAAACUGUUAGAAUCGAUCAGAUACAAUCUUCUAGUUCCUGGAAUGCAGAUAACGAUAAUUAAUUCAGACUUUUAAUUAGCUUAUUUAAUUGGCUAAAAAUAUCGCCUGACAGAAUAAAGGCAACCGAAGAAAUAGUAAUCAUGCUUCACAACUCGGGCAAUAUAGCAGCAAGUUGUCUAAAAGUACUCCUAAAACUGAAUAUAUUUUUGUCAUAAACAUUUGUUAUUAACAUCGUUAAAUCGGUGGAAAGAUUGCUAGAACUGGUUUCUUACUUGAACUGAGUGACAUUUUAGUCUUAUCUACAUGAUGACUAAAAGAUGACUUUAUUAAAAAACAUUAAGAGGGACCCGUUUGCCUAUAUUCCCGAUUGCCAAAAUUCCUGAUUGCCUACAUGUAUUAUUGCACACAUGAAAAAUAUAAGGAAACGAAAGUACGAUUGCACACAUGACAUUAUUGCGCACAUAUACAUUGCACACAUGAUUUUUAAAUGCAAAAAUAAAAGGACGUCCUGGAACAUGC